GUGAACUCCCAGGUGAAGGUUCAUUCCCCUUCUGCUCACAAUGGACAAGAGUAAGCCAGGAAUUCAAUACAUGUCUCCAUCAAGGGUGGAAGGAAUCCUGAUACUGGUUCCAUUAUCACUACCUCCCAGGGACUGCAUUAACAGAAAACUGGAGACAGGAACUGAAGCCAGGAAUUGAAUCCAGGCGAUGAAGACACUAUUAUGUAGUAGAGAAAGCAAGGUGGAAGACAUGAUUAGAAGCAAAAGAAUGGAUGAAAUUUCUUGGCAAACUUGUCCGGAGAUGUGGAGGUGAAUUGAAGGUAUCAAUUAUUUUAGGAAUCUUACUGAAAAGGUAAGGAUGAAAAGAGGAUGAAGGGCCGGCGCCGUGUCUCACUAGGCUAAUCCUCCACCUGCAGCACUGGCACACUGGGUUCUAGUCCUGGUCGGGGCGCCGGAUUCUGUCCUGGUUGCUCCUCUUCCAGUCCAGCUCUAUGCUGUGUCCUGGGAAGGCAGUGGAGGAUGGCCCAAGUGCUUGGGCCCUGCACCCGCAUGGGAGACCAGGAGGAAGUAUCUGGCUCCUGGCUUCGGAUCAGUGCAGUGCCAGCCGUGGCAGCAA